UACGGAGGGUGCAAGCGUUAUCCGGAUUUACUGGGUUUAAAGGGUGCGCAGGCGGAUAUGUAAGUCAGUGGUGAAAUCUCCGGGCUUAACCCGGAAAUUGCCGUUGAUACUAUAUAUCUUGAAUGUUGUGGAGGUAAGCAGAAUAUGUCAUGUAGCGGUGAAAUGCUUAGAGAUGACAUAGAAUACCUAUUGCGAAGGCAGCUUACUACGCAGAUAUUGACGCUCAUGCACGAAAGCGUGGGGAUCAAACAGG
rnacentral:rRNA from 1 species